rnacentral:rRNA from 1 species
UACGUAGGGGGCAAGCGUUGUCCGGAUUUAUUGGGCGUAAAGAGCGUGUAGGCGGCCUGAAAGGUCAGCUGUGAAAACUCGAGGCUCAACCUCGAGACGUCGGUUGAAACCAUCUGGCUAGAGUCCGGAAGAGGAGAGUGGAAUUCCCGGUGUAGCGGUGAAAUGCGCAGAUAUCGGGAAGAACACCCGUGGCGAAGGCGGCUCUCGUGGGACGGUACUGACGCUGAGACGCGAAAGCGUGGGGAGCGAACGAGG